UUGUGCAGAUAUAAGGUUGUCCUGGUAUAGGGUUUAUCCCUUAUAUUACAAAGGUUAUCCUAGCACAAGUGUUGGGUUCCAAUGACGCAGCAGAAUAUAAAUUUUAAAAUUUUUUACAUGCAUUCAAUAAUUGAAAAUAAGUUUAACAAUUAAACUAGACUAUCGGAAUACAAAAAUCCUAAGAACACCUUGAUGAUUGCAAUCAAAUAUAAUAAGCAUGUACAACAAGAAGG
rnacentral:lncRNA from 1 species